rnacentral:tRNA from 1 species
GGUUCAUUAGCCAAGUGGUAAGGCAAUGGUCUGCAAAACCAUGAACGCAGGUUCGAUUCCUGCGUGAACCU